ACGGGUUAGUAACGCGUGGGAACGUGCCCUUCUCUACGGAAUAGCCUCGGGAAACUGAGAGUAAUACCGUAUACGCCCUUUGGGGGAAAGAUUUAUCGGAGAAGGAUCGGCCCGCGUCUGAUUAGAUAGUUGGUGGGGUAAUGGCCUACCAAGUCUACGAUCAGUAGCUGGUUUUAGAGGAUGAUCAGCAACACUGGGACUGAGACACGGCCCAGACUCCUACGGGAGGCAGCAGUGGGGAAUCUUAGACAAUGGGCGCAAGCCUGAUCUAGCCAUGCCGCGUGAGUGAUGAAGGCCUUAGGGUCGUAAAGCUCUUUCGCCAGAGAUGAUAAUGACAGUAUCUGGUAAAGAAACCCCGGCUAACUCCGUGCCAGCAGCCGCGGUAAUACGGAGGGGGUUAGCGUUGUUCGGAAUUACUGGGCGUAAAGCGCACGUAGGCGGAUCAGAAAGUUGGGGGUGAAAUCCCAGGGCUCAACCCUGGAACGGCCUCCAAAACUCCUGGUCUUGAGUUCGAGAGAGGUGAGUGGAAUUCCGAGUGUAGAGGUGAAAUUCGUAGAUAUUCGGAGGAACACCAGUGGCGAAGGCGGCUCACUGGCUCGA
rnacentral:rRNA from 1 species